UCUUGAAGUAAAAAAAAUAGCAAAAAAGUAAAAAUUUUGUAAAAGAGUGCAAAUAAAUGAAAAAAAGUAUUUUUCCACACCAAAAAUGCUCUUGUUGCUUUCCAUGACACGCCUGCUGAUCCUUGUGUGCUGUCGGUGUCAUUUGCCCAUCACAAACGCUUCAUCGUUAUUGCUGAAACCGCAGAUUUUUCCCCUGUAAUCGAAGGCCGGAUUUUCUACCAGCAAUCGAUUGGAAGAACUAUUUUCGGGUAAUCAACGCAAAUCCAGAUCAGAUCCGAUUUGUAAGAAUUUGUACUCCAUUUGAGAAGUGAAAGGAAAGCAAUAGCACGACAUGACCAGACCCUUGGCAAUCCGGAUACAUAUGGAAACGAGU